rnacentral:rRNA from 1 species
UACCAGCUCUCCGAGUGGUAGGGAUGAUUAUUGGGCUUAAAGCGUCCGUAGCCGGCUUAGCAAGUUUCCUGUUAAACUCAGCGACUCAAUCGUUGGAUCGCGGGAAAUACUACUAGGCUAGGAGGCGGGAGAGGUCAACGGUACUUCUGGGGUAGGGGUGAAAUCCUAUAAUCCCGGGAGGACCACCAGUGGCGAAGGCUGUUGACUAGAACGCGCUCGACGGUGAGGGACGAAAGCUGGGGGAGCGAACCGGAUUAGAUACCCGGGUAGUCCCAGCCGUAAACGAUGCGAGCUAGGUGUUGGAAUGGCUACGGGCCAUUUCAGUGCCGCAGGGAAGCCAUUAAGCUCGCCGCAUGGGGAGUACGGCCGCAAGGCUGAAACUUAAGGAAUUGGCGGGGAGCGCCACAAGGGGUGAAGCUUGCGGUUU